rnacentral:rRNA from 1 species
GACGUAGGGCGCGAGCGUUGUCCGGAUUUAUUGGGCGUAAAGAGCUCGUAGGCGGCUUGUCGCGUCGACUGUGAAAUCCCGCGGCUCAACUGCGGGUCUGCAGUCGAUACGGGCAGGCUAGAGUUCGGUAGGGGGAGACUGGAAUUCCUGGUGUAGCGGUGAAAUGCGCAGAUACCAGGAGGAACACCGGUGGCGAAGGCGGAUCUCUGGGCCAUUACGUGACGCUGAGGAGCGAAAGCGUGGGGAGCGAACGAGG